rnacentral:rRNA from 1 species
AGGACGAACGCUGGCGGCGUGCUUAACACAUGCAAGUGGAGCGACGAACCAGGGCUUGCCCUGGGGCAGAGCCGCGAACGGGUGAGUAACACGUGGGUUACCUGCCUCGAUGACCGGGACAACCCGAGGAAACUCGGGCUAAUACCGGAUGUGCCCGCAAGGGGAAAGGAAGCUUCGGCCUCCGCAUCGAGAUGGGCCCGCGGCCCAUUAGCUUGUUGGUGAGGUAACGGCUCACCAAGGCUUCGAUGGGUAGCUGGUCUGAGAGGACGAUCAGCCACACUGGGACUGAGACACGGCCCAGACUCCUACGGGAGGCAGCAGUGGGGAAUCUUGCGCAAUGCGCGAAAGCGUGACGCAGCAACGCCGCGUGGGGGAAGAAGGCUUUCGGGUUGUAAACCCCGUUCAGUUGGGACGAAGCUUCUCCGGUGAACAGCCGGACGGAGUGACGGUACCUUCACAAGAGCACCGGCUAACUACGCGCCAGCAGCCGCGGU